GGCCCCUACGGAGGCAGCAGUCGAGAAUCAUUCACAAUGGGGGAAACCCUGAUGGUGCGACGCCGCGUGGGGGAAUGAAGGUCUUCGGAUUGUAGACCCCUGUCAUGUGGGAGCAAAUUAAAAAGAUAGUACCACAAGAGGAAGAGACGGCUAACUCUGUGCCAGCAGCCGCGGUAAUACAGAGGUCUCAAGCGUUGUUCGGAAUCACUGGGCGUACAGCGUGCGUAGGCUGUUUCGUAAGUCGUGUGUGAAAGGCGCGGGCUCUACCAGCGGACGGCACAUGAUAC
rnacentral:rRNA from 1 species